rnacentral:rRNA from 1 species
UACGUAGGGUGCGAGCGUUAAUCGGAAUUACUGGGCGUAAAGCGUGCGCAGGCGGUUUUGUAAGCCCGGUGUGAAAUCCCCGGGCUUAACCUGGGAAUGGCAUUUGGGACUGCAAGGCUGGAGUGUGGCAGAGGAGACUGGAAUUCCUGGUGUAGCAGUGAAAUGCGUAGAUAUCAGGAGGAAUACCGAUGGCGAAGGCAGGUCUCUGGGCUGACACUGACGCUCAUGCACGAAAGCGUGGGGAGCAAACAGG